rnacentral:rRNA from 1 species
AUAACUUCUCGAAAGAGAGGCUAAUACCGCAUACACUCGGGUCAUUCAUUUGGCCGAGCAAAAGCUCCGGCGCUUUGGGACGGGCCUGCGUCCAAUUAGCUAGUUGGUAGGGUAAUGGCUUACCAAGGCUUUGAUCGGUAGCUGGUCUGAGAGGACGAUCAGCCACACUGGCACUGACACACGGGCCAGACUCCUACGGGAGGCAGCAGUGAGGAAUAUUGGGCAAUGGGCGAAAGCCUGACCCAGCAACGCCGCGUGAGGGAUGAAGGCCUACGGGUUGUAAACCUCUUUUCUGGGAGAAGAGACAAGGACGGUAUCCCAGGAAUAAGUCUCGGCUAACUACGUG